rnacentral:lncRNA from 1 species
ACCAUGGGAGAGAAUUUGAACGCUCUUGGCAGUUGAGAUUCAGACCUUGACAGUUGUAACCGAUAGACUGGGCUGGGGCAACGCUGAUGAAAGGCAAAUUCCUGAGAGAAAAAUCACCCAGACUUUCUAGAAGUUGUUAUGAGUGGACCUGACUACCUAGAGAGAGUAAUACAGAAGCUCCGUGCCGAUCACAGCUACCUCAUUACCAUGUUCCUCCAAGAUGGCCGCCCCUGAGGAGAAUCAUCAACUGGGCUUUACGGAAGAGAGAAAUCCAAACGACCAUCAGCAACAAAUGAAAGACUGAAGUUGAAAGUUUCAAGAUUGUCAAGAAUGACGAGUUGGACUUGGUCUAGUUACUUCCACAGCAGCAGGAGGAACAUGUGUGUGACUCAGGAUAACUGGGGAAGCCUUGGCUAGGCUUUCCUCAUGUCAACCUACCACUCAAAGGGAGAAAACCUCCUGAUCAGAGGUGCCCAGAACCCAGGAAAUCCAUAAUUUUUGAAUGCUGGCCGAGGUCUGUGACCUCUGACUGAAUGGUUUCCAAGCUCCGAAUUCCUAGGUGAUGUUUUCAUUUGUUCACACUUGCUGAAGAAGGGAAAGGCUCUCUGAUUUACGUGUAAGCAAAACAAUCUAAACAGUAGGAUAAAAUCAUGUUGGAAUGGAGUUCUGUGUGGAUGCUCCUUUGAACCAAAUCAGUUCCACAACUGACCCUG